AUUGAACGCUGGCGGCAUGCCUUACACAUGCCAGUCGAACGGUAACGGGCCUUCGGGUGCCGACGAGUGGCGAACGGGUGAGUAAUACAUCGGAACGUGCCCGAUCGUGGGGGAUAACGAGGCGAAAGCUUUGCUAAUACCGCAUACGAUCUACGGAUGAAAGCCGGGGACCGCAAGGCCUUGCGCGGACGGAGCGGCCGAUGGCAGAUUAGGUAGUUGGUGGGAUAAAAGCUUACCAAGCCGACGAUCUGUAGCUGGUCUGAGAGGAUGAUCAGCCACACGGGGACUGAGACACGGCCCAGACUCCUACGGGAGGCAGCAGUGGGGAAUUUUGGACAAUGGGCGCAAGCCUGAUCCAGCCAUGCCGCGUGCAGGAUGAAGGCCUUCGGGUUGUAAACUGCUUUUGUACGGAACGAAAAGCCUUCUUUUAAUACAGGAGGGUCAUGACGGUACCGUAAGAAUAAGCACCGGCUAACUACGUG
rnacentral:rRNA from 1 species